UGGUUAGCUAUCACAACCCACCAUUAUUGCCCAAUUAAAACCAUUAAUAUGUAACUAAGACACUAUUUCCAUUUAUUAUGAACAAAGGAUAUUAGAAGUGGUAUCUUCAAAUUGAUUAUAGCCUGAAAGAAAUUGGCAAAGGUAUUCCUAUAUACCCAUAGAUUAAAUUAUUAUUAAGUUUACUUGGGGGACUCACAUGUACCCUAUAAGUAGUUCAUCAUUAUAUUUGCUUGGGAGAUUCCCUUGUACCCCACAAAGCUUUCAACUAAACAAAACCAUGACCACC
rnacentral:lncRNA from 1 species